GCCGAAGUGGCGGAAUAGGCAGACGCGACGGUCUCAAAAACCGUUGAGCAUAGGCUCAUGUGGGUUCGAGUCCCACCUUCGGCACCU
rnacentral:tRNA from 1 species